CCUUCUUGGCGCCUGUCCUGUUUCUAGCCUAUGAAUUUGCAUAACGCAGCCAUAAGAGGUUGCUUUCUAAAUGCUUUCGAGCAGAUUUCCUAUUCGUUUACCUUAGAUCUUCUGGUAAGCUGAGCUGCCCCAAAGUGGAAGGAGAUGCUUCUGCCUAGUGGAAGAGCAGCCAGACUCAUCGCCUGUGAUUCACCCCCACCCCAAAAACUCACUAGAGGGCUCUUCAUACGAUUGAAGAUGGAGGUGAUGCAGCCACAUUGUAACCAUGAGGCAAUGAGCACAAAGACAAAGGUUCCAUUCUAAAGAAGGCUGAAGGAGAGAGAGAGAGAGGGAGCCUGGGUCCCUGAUGGCACUGUGGAACCACCCUACCAACUCUGGAGUGUGUCUGCUGAACUGGUGGUGUAAGAAAAAUAACCCCAGGACAACCAUUGUGAGAACUUAGUGUUCUAUCAAAGGCAGUCUGGGAAAUGCUACAAUAGAUGACCUCUUCAGAUUUCUUUCCUCCUGAACAUUUCACCAUUACCUGGCUAGAAGAAAACGAGCAGAUAGCCAGGUCUAUAAGCAGCCCUGGCACGUGACUUUAAUGAGACAUGAAUGAGAGCCAAAGAACUGAGGCCUGUGAGGUUGGUCAGGGAAGAGCAAUGAACUAGGUAAAUUAAACUCAGGGAGGUGCCAAGUCCCCUGAAAUUUUGGAGUGCCCACUCCCCCAUUCCCUUUCUACUAAGUCGUGAGUCUGGCAGAGGCUGUGGCCCUCUGGGUCCACAGCUCCUGCCAAGUGGUCUCUCCUGCACAGCUCCAGCAGGCAGAGCUCUGACGACACCACUCUUUGCUCUCACACCUUCAGGUGGAGGAGCACUAACAGCUUCCUGGUGCUGCUCCUUCCCGAGGGCGUCACCAUCUCUCUACUCCCUCCUCUGUAAAUAGCCUUCUCAUUAAACUCUUAUCCAUCAAACCCUUUUGGGAGUGCCCACUGCUUCCUGCCUGGAGCCUGACUGACAGAGACAACAAUACACAUUUCUUAGAGCAACCAUGCUCCCACGAUUUGCUCAAACAAGUCCCAAUUUCAUGAUUUUUGUCUUUUAAUUAAGGUGAAUUAUACAAUGUAGAAAUAAGCAGGAUGCAGAGAGGAAAGCCACCCCCAACUUUAGUCCCCAGUGCAAGCACCAUGCCGACCCGAUAAGGGGUUCACUGCUGCUGAACUGAGAGUUAAGGUUCACGGAUUGAGUCAAGGACAAAGGCCAUAUAACAAGGACAAGGGCCCUCAGGGCCAACACAGUGUAUGUCACUUGGAUUGGGCUCAGACCAGAUUUCAAGGGAAGGAAGCUAUCAUAAAAAGUAAGGGACAUGAAAGAGCUGAAUCGAGUGCAUUUCAAUAAGACGCCAGAGAAGAAGUCAGCAUGGCUUCAUUGUCAAGUAAAAGAAAGCGAAGCAACUCCCAGUGGUGGGUACUUUCCCACCUCAGGCUGGGGUGUUCGCAAAAGGAACAGAGCAAUGGCUGUAUAUGAAUGAAAAUCAGAAGGGAAGGAGGACUUCAUGGAGACGAGGCAGUGAUGGUGGAGAGAGGGAAAUUCUUUCACCCUGUGGCAAUGAGAAGCACUUGACAUUAUCUGGUCCCAUGUCCUUAUCAAAAGGACAGCCUGUGGUCACUUUCUAGCACUUGCAAGAAAUCCCAGUAGCUCUCAAGGAAGGGAUGGGAGAAAGAAGGCUCCAGCAAUUUGCUGUGUGGGAAUAAGCCAGAGAGUUGCUGUUUGGUUUCUUUUAGGUUGCUGCAAAAGUAAUCAUGGUUUUUGCCAUAACUUUUGGACCGACCUAUAUUACUAUGACCCUAUUUGGCAUCUCCACCAGUAUAUCAAAAUAUGAUCCCAACAAAUCCGCAAAUUAGAAAAAAAAAGUCAAAAACAGUGAUUACCAUGUGCACAUGAGAUAUAGAUGUUUGGAGAACAGCCUAUUUGGAGAUGUCACAUCUACCUGAAAUUUUCCAGGUGGACCUACAGCCAAUAGGAGACAGCUUCCUGUUCACUCUUCAGCAUAACUACUUACCAAUGGUCAAAGGAGAUGAACUAGGAGUCUGUGCCGAGUUUUUUAAAUUAGCUUUGCUUAAACCAAAAAAUAUUUUAGAUAUCUAAAAAAUAUAAAUAAUAAAAUAGGCUUGGUGCAGUGGCUCAAGCCUAUAAUCCCAGCACUUUGGGAGGCCAAGGUGGGCGGGUCACUUGAGGUCAGGAGUUUGAGACCAGCCUGGCCAACAUGGCAAAACCCCAUCUCUAGCAAAAAUACAAAAAUUAGCCAGGCAUAGUUGUGCUCGCCUGUAAUCCCAGCUACUCAGGAGGCUGAGGUGGGAGAAUCACUUGAACCCAGGAGGCAGAGGUUGCAGUGAAAGGAGGUCACGCCAUUGCACUCCAGUCUGGGUGACAGAGUAAGACUCUGUCUCAAAAAUAAAAUAAACAUUUGUAUACCCACCCUUUGGUCUAAGAAAUAAAAUAUUACAGAUAUAAAUGGAGCCCCUACGUGCAUCUCCCCUGGUCUGCCUUACUGCCUUUCCUACAAGGAGCCACUUCUCUGAAUUUCAUGGUUGUUCACAAACAUAAUUUUAUGCUUUAAUUAUACAUAUAAUAUGUAUACUUAA